rnacentral:lncRNA from 1 species
AAAAGACUAAGGUGGGCAGCACCUAAGGACCUGCUGAGGCCUGCACACACACCUGCACACACAUGCCUGCACAUACACUUGCACACACUCCUGCAUACACAUGCCUGCACACACACCUGCACACCUACCUGCACACACCUACCUGCGCGCACACACCUGCACACACACAAAGCAUCAACAUAAAGAGGAGACAGAAGAGGGACGCCUACAGAGAGUGACACCUUGCCUCAGCCUGGGAAUGGGGUCCCUACAAACCUCCACCUCGGCAGCAGAAGUGCCAACUGCUCACCGGCCGGGUGAUGCUCAUCACAUCAGGGUGACGCUGCUCCAGGGGGCAGAGGCAGAGCUCCCUCUUCACUUUGAACCUCCUAGCGGCCUAGUGGUCCCUGGGGUCCUGAGGCGAGCAGGCUGUCCCGGGACAGCCACAGGGGUGGUGGUGGGGAGACAGGGAGAUGGAGAAAAUGAACCCAAUCAAGACCCUUAGCCAGUAGUAAUGCUGAGUACUACACAGGGUGCCAGGAGUCAGUCCCUAGCUCGAGGACCCAAGGAGACCCCAAAUUCCAGCUAGGCCAUUCAGCCUGAGCCAUGACGUCGUAUCCUGGGCUGUGGAGACACGGGAGGAGCCCAGAGGGGCAGCAAAGCAUCCUUCAGAAUGGGCUUACCUUGCAGUCGAGCGGGGUUUUGACCCCAAGGCCACCCGCCCCUCACUUCCUCCCUCCAUCCUCCUCAGAGUCACCACGGUCAAGCAUUUUAAAGUCUGACAGGCCCCCUACGUGCCCCUCAAGAGGCCAGCUGGGAAAACAUCCCAGUCUCCAGUUCUGUUCUGGCUGUGGCCCAGCACGGAAGAGGGCGAGGAGCUGUGCAGCCCAGUACCUUGGCCUUGGCCUUGAGGUGUUCCAGGGCACGGAACAGUGUGGGUAAGGGAUCUGUCUCCAUCCCAAGGGGCGUCUGGACCGCAACAUCAAGAGAAGGCAAGGGACAGAUCAAACACUCCUGUGAGCUUUGAGGAAGGGGUGGCCACACUUUCCUGCAGGUCAGCUCUCACCAUUGUUAAGACAGAUGGAAGCCUCCUCUGUCCCCAUGUCACCACGUCUAAGGGCCACCUUGCUUCCUUUUAUGCCUCAGAAUUCUUUGUUGUGGUACUGAAUAAAUAAACCCAUC